AUGAUUAGCCUGACCAGCAGGAGUAAUUCAGGACUGACAGCGGUGGACUCUGUGUUGUGGUCAGGCUCCGAGCAAAGGCCUCCCAGAACACGCUGUGAUUUGCCUGCUCCUGAGAGCUGGGGACUACAGAGUUGGAGUCCUUCCACACCCCUCCCCACGGGACAUUUGGCAGUGUCUGGAGACAUCACUGGUUGUCACAACUGUGGCAGUUCAUGGGUAGAGGCAAGCACGGCGCACAGGACAGCCACCCACGCCGGUGGGCAAAGAAUCAUCCAGCCCCGAGAGCCAGAGCGCCCGUGUUGAGAAACCCUGGCUCAAACUGAAUUCAUGUGAAAGUUGACAGCAUCCCUCAGGGAUGAAAAUUACUCAGAGAGGUCCCCUUGCCACCGGUUCCUCCUCACUGCCCUUGACUGGUUCCAACUGCUUAUAAGGCAGAGCCAGCACACGUGAUCUUUACCGCCCCUCGCCUGCCUUUCCCUCCUGCUUCACCCCACCCGUUCCUCAGCCCUGCGGCAUACAUACUCAUACAUACUGGCACUGUCCCGGAGUGACAUGAUGUGCCAAGGGCUUUGUAAAUUUCCUCCUUUGGAAUGAAUGACCUCCUUUCCAAGCCUGCCUGUAAAACACAUCCUCCUUGUUUGAAAACCCCACCUGUGGGAAGUAACUGCCUAAUGGGUGUGGGGCUCCUUUCUUGGGGUGAGGCACUGUUUCUAGAAACACAUAGAGGUAGUGGGAGCACAAAAAUGUGAAUAUGCUAAAUGCCAUUGAACUGUACACUUUUUAAAGAAAGAUUUUAUUUAUUUGAUACAAAGAGAGAGAGAUCACAAGCAGGCAGAGAGGUGGGGGGGAGCAGGCUCCCCACUAAGCAGAGAGCCCGAUGCGGGACUCAAUCCCAAGAGAUCAUGACCCGAGCUGAAGGCAGGGCCUUAACCCACUGAGCCACCCGGGUACCUCUGAACUGUACACUUUAAAGUGAUCUACAUUGGGGCACCCGGGUGGCUCAGUCAGUUAAGCAUCUGCUUUCCCCUCAGGUCAUGAUCUCAGGGUCCUAGGAUCAAGUCCCACAUUGGGCUCCCUGCUCAGCGGGGACUGCCCCCUCUCCCUCUCAUGCUCAUUCUCUCCCCCUCUCUCGCACAAAAAUAAAUAAAUACAUCUUUUAAAAAGUGAACAAUUGGAUCACCAUAAUCAAGAUAGGAGACAUAUCUAUCACCCCCCAAAGUUUCCCUGUGCCCCUUUGUAAAUCUUUCCCUCUAGCCCUCCUCACCCCCUCAUCCCCAAGCAACCACUGCUCUACCCUCUGUCUUUAUUGAUUAGUUGACAUCUUCUAAAGGUUUAUAUAAAUGGCAUCAUGCAAUAUGUAUGUGGGCCUGGCUUCUUUCACUUAGGAUAACUAUUUUGAGAUGUAUCCACAUUGCGUGUACCAAUAGAUGAUUUCCUUUCUUCUUGCUGUAUAGUUUUCCAUUGUUUGAAUGUAGCAAAAUGUGCUCGUCUACUUCGCUGCUGUUGGACUUUGGGAUUGUUCCCAGUUUGGGACCAUCAUGAAUAAACCUGCUGUGGACUUUCACACACCUGUCUGCGCAUGGGCAUGUAUUUCCCUUUCUCUUAGGUAAGUACCUAGGAGUGGACGGACUGGAUCCUUUGACCAGCCUCCGUUUAACUUUUUAAGAAAUUGACAAGCUGAUUUCCAAAGUGUACCAUUUUAUUUUUUUUUAAGAUUUUAUUUAUUUACCUGUCAGAGAGAGAGAGAGCACAAGCAGGGGGAGGAGCAGAGGGAGAAGUGGGCUCUCUGCCGAGCAGGGAGCCUGAGACGGGCUCAAUCCCAGGACCCUGGGAUCAUGACCUGAGCUGAAGGCAGACGCUUAACCAGUUGAGCCACCCAGGUGCCCCCAAGGUGUACCAUUGCAUAAUCUAGUCUAUGAGAGUUCUAGUUCAUUCACAUCCUCACUGACAUUUGGUAUAAUCUGUUACAUUUUAGCCAUUCUCACGGGUGUGUAGUCAUGUCUUGUUGUGGUUUUAGUCUCCAUUUCCUUAAUAACUAAUGAUGUCGAGCUCUUUCCAGUGUUUCUCACCUACAUAUCUCUCCUGGUGAAAUGUCUGUCUAAAUCUUUUGCCCACUUUUAUAGGUUAUUUUGUGUGUGGAAUAUCAGGAAAGGUAUUGGAGAUGGUAUGAGCUGCCGGCUCUAGGAAACGGAAUGAGCAAACUGGAGGCCACAGUCGAGAAGGGCUCUUCGUUUCUCACCCUGUGAAUGCUGCCUCUUAUAAUUGUUUAUAGUGUUUUAAAAGGGAAAUAGGCUGCUUAGAAAGAUGUCAGUUUUGAAAGCGUGUUUUAUAACAGAUGGAGGGAGACUGCUCUGUUUAGCCAAGAGCAGUUCCGACACUCCGCACUGGUAGGAAAUUGGAGCACUGAAGCCUUAAUGGAACCGUGAGCUUUUUACAUCGCUUUGUAUUUAAUCAUUCAUGGUGGCACACCAGGGGCAACACUGCUGCUGGGCCACGACUCCUCUAAGACCCCAUCAAACAGGGCUCGGUAUUUAUGGUUUUGUUUUAUUUUUUCAUUAAAGAGAUUUUAUUUAUUGGUCAGAGAGAGUGAGUAUAAGCAGGGGGAGCAGCAGGCAGAGAGAGAGAGAGG
ensembl:lincRNA